GGGACGACAUUGUGGUUGAGGGUCCGGCCUUCCCUGUGAUGGUCGCACCCAAACUUCAAUCUCUCGUUUUUUUCUUCUCUGGGCCGGCACCAUUCCCACCAGGCAAAGGAGGAUUGAUAGGAGCAAUAGCAACACCUGUAGCUUCAUUUUUGUGUUGAUAUGGACGCAGGCUAAACAUCUUUUUAUAGCUGUGAUACAUUGGAUUACGUCAUGUGGAUAAUACAUUAGAUAUGCCUUGCAUAACAUUGUAAUAUUAGGCCGUGCAGUAAAGUUCCCCUAACUCAUUAAAGUAAAUACCGUUUAUUAUCUUAAACCGAAGAGAAAUACAGGCCCAGACCUUCAACUCUCAGUUACUCUGCUGGAAAAUGAUUUGCAUACCUUUUCUUUUUUAUUAAAAAAGCACAACGUUAUGUUAAGCAAUCAAAGCUUGGACGGUUAAAUAAGUUUUUAUAGUGGACUUGGCUUCCGAGGUCAAUUAGUUCAACUAAAUGAAAGUAGCCGAAUAUAAAUAUAAAUGGAUGGGCCAAUAAUUUUUGAAUAACGUUGGUUAUUUGUUGUACGAAAAUCGACACACUAUUUCAGCAACUACUUUCCAAAUAAAAC